rnacentral:rRNA from 1 species
GAUGAACGCUGGCGGCGUGCCUAAUACAUGCAAGUCGAGCGAACAGACGAGGAGCUUGCUCCUCUGACGUUAGCGGCGGACGGGUGAGUAACACGUGGAUAACCUACCUAUAAGACUGGGAUAACUUCGGGAAACCGGAGCUAAUACCGGAUAAUAUGUUGAAUCGCAUGGUUCAACAGUGAAAGACGGUCUUGCUGUCACUUAUAGAUGGAUCCGCGCCGCAUUAGCUAGUUGGUAAGGUAACGGCUUACCAAGGCAACGAUGCGUAGCCGACCUGAGAGGGUGAUCGGCCACACUGGAACUGAGACACGGUCCAGACUCCUACGGGAGGCAGCAGUAGGGAAUCUUCCGCAAUGGGCGAAAGCCUGACGGAGCAACGCCGCGUGAGUGAAGAAGGUCUUCGGAUCGUAAAACUCUGUUAUUAGGGAAGAACAAAUGUGUAAGUAACUAUGCACGUCCUGACGGUACCUAAUCAGAAAGCCACGGCUAACUACGUG